AUGCCAGGUUUCUGCAAAGUGAAGGAACGAUGUAAGAGGUCUUUUUGUGUUGGGGUGGAGUGGGGGUAACACAGCCAAGGAUUAGAGCGUACACUGUCCUGGAUGCAUUUCCUCACUUGGCUGCCCUGUUGCAUAUCUUCCCCAGGGAGGCGGUGGAGUCGCCAUCCCUGGAGGUGUUCCAGGGCCAUGGAGAUGUGACACUGAGGGAUAUGGUCAGGAGGCAUGGUGGGAUGGGUUGGGGUUGGACUUGGUGAUCUUAGAGGCCUUUUCCAACCUCAGUGAUUCCAUGAUCUCACCAUGCAGAGCUCACUGUGUCCCCUUGUAGUGUUUCCUGAAGGCCUGGGAAUACACACAGCAGUAAGAUCAUUUUGGAUGUUGGUUGUUUGUCUUGGGAUGUAGAAAGUCACCACAGAACUGUAGAAUAUCCUGAGUAUGAAGGGACCCACAGGCAUCAUUGAGUCCAACUCCUGCCUAACCAUGGGUCAGCUGAUGCACAGGGAGAUUCUAAGGUUGCCUGCAGGUCUACCAGGAACAAACUGCCCAUACUUCUAUGUGCAGAUCUGUCAGAAGAGGACACGUAAUUCCCCAAGGUGUAUAAUGGCUAAUAAGCAUCCCAGCUGCACAGGCAGUGCUCACCACAUCAUGUCUUCCAGUCCUCCACUGCUUCUUGACUACUUUUCACCUACUGUAGGUCGUGUCUGAGACAGGGUGAGCACUGCAGGCUGUUAUAAGUGUACUUCCAGAAAUACACUACUUUUAUUUAUUUUCACUCGUCCCUGCUUUGCAAGGAUGGAGUGUGUGGGAAGAACAAAUGAUCUGUCCUUGCAGAUUUAAAUAGAGGAAGAAAAUAAAUUGUAUGUGAAUAUAUGAUCUUGCUUCAAAAUGAGGAAGCAUGGAUUUUGAGCUCAGAGAUGGCUUUGCAAGGAAAAUGCCUGGUUUCCAGACCCUGGCACAUCCAUCAGGCAGGAGAAAGCUCUGAGUUGAGUUCCCACCUCACCUGCAGGAGUUUCAAGGUGCAAUUCACCUUCUGCAGGAGUUUGCACAGUGGUAUGGCAGGCUUUGGCUGUAGUUGGUUUGACUUUGUUUGCUUUGUGGCCUGGUGGUCCCAAAAUAACAGAGAAGGGACCACGAAUGCCAUCUAUUGGAGACAUGGAAGAAGGGAGAAGACAGUCUUGGCUUCAUUUGUGUGGGUGAUAUGCUACUGCAAACAGGCUGGCUGUUUCAGCUCAGAAAUCCACUUCCAUCUUAAGUGGGUAGGUGAUAAAGUGCCUUGUCUCUAUUGCACAGCAAUAAGGCAAAGGUACAGCCUGCAGUAUGGGAUGUUCAAUGUAAACAUUGUCUAGUCAAACCCUCACGGGAAGUGGGGCAACAAAACAGGACAAUUUCUUAGCAGUGAGUGGUUUGCUGAUGUCUGGACAAAGGCAAAGAGUGAAGGCCAUGGUGGUUGAACUCACACAUCAGCUUUGGAGCUGUGAAACUGGAGAUUUGCUUCUCUCCUGGUUUGGGGACAAAGGCAGCACAUACAAAUCAAAGAAUCAUGGAAUCAUAGGAUAGCUUGGGUUAGAAGAGACCUCAAAGAUCAUGGGCAGGGCUGCCAUUCACUAAAUCAGGCACCAGCUCAGGCUUUUCAGGUCCCCAUCCAUGGCCUUGGGCACCUCCAGGAAUGGGGCACCCACAACACCUCUGGGCAGCAGUGCUGGGGCCUCACCACCCCCUUUGUGGUUGAACUGAGACUCAGGACUGAGAUGCGUUCACAAUAACGUUUACUUGGUGGCAACACUGUGAUCGUAGCUCUUAUUCUUCACGAAUUUCCACAGACACACUAAACACCAUUGUAAACUGCAGGAUCCCUGGAGAACAUGAAAAUUAACAGCAGUGCCUGCACGCUGCAGUUACCACUGGGCAAAACCCAGAAAUUCCUUUUUGCUGAAAAGUCCAAUUCUGUGGAAAACAGUGAUCCAGAAUUACAGACUCUUAGAAAAAUAGGAGUCCUGAAAAAAAAUAAAGUUCAGAAAUUAUCCUUCUUGGCUCCUUUAAAGCUGUCUGGGUGUUGAGCUUCUCUAAGAGAGAUCAGCUUCUCUCUUUCUUUUAAUUUACACUCAGUGCUACUCUAAUUAGUAUUGAGUGAAACAGCUUCUUUUACCAUUUAAUCCAAUGUGUCAAACAAUUCCCUUCCAGCAGUGAGACUCACCUCGGAUGAGCAGAUAAGGUGUUUCAUUAGAGCAGGAGCUGCUCUCAAUAUUGCAGAAAACUGAUCUCAAGCCUAAAUAAAAGCAGACGAAAUACGGAGCCGGACAGUCAGGCGGGCAGGAGAAACCCAACCACCCAACCAUUCUCCCAGAGAGACCAUUUGAUGCAUUUUUAUUCCCUUCCUAGAAAAUUAAUUGAUUUUAUUUUAUUUUACUUUUUUUUUUUUUUUUCCAAGAGGAAUUUCAGUUUUGCUGAAAGGUUUUAUUUCCGAGCAGUUGCAGCCUUGGCAAUGCCCAACUGGGAAGCUCUUUGCAAUGGAGCACAAUGCAGCCCCGGAAGAUGGAGAGCACAGUCAGUUUUCUGCCCGUUUUACAGAUCGGAAGGCUGAGGUGUGAUCUACCCUUCAUUUUAUUCCAUGCUUCAAGGUCUGGUGGUUGGCGACCCUCCACAUAGCAGGGGGGUUGAAAUGAGGUGUUCAUUGUGGUCCUUUUCAACCCAGGCCGUUCUUUGAUUCUAUGAUCACUGAAUCAUAGGAACUGUGAUGCCUUCUACGGAGCAUGAGCUCCCUAGUAAAUUCAAUACAACAAUCUAAAAAAAAAAUAAAAAAUCCCAUUUUAAGUUUAAACAUAACCAAAGAUUAAAGCAAGAGCACCUUAUGUACAAAAUGACAUUCCUCCCUUUGAGCAGGCAAAGAAUUGGAGACUCCAAGGAUAUUAUUGUUGAUUUAGGUAAACCACAGCUCUCCAAGCCUUGCAUGCUGUCCCCAAUGGGACAGUAGCAGCAUCCUUAGAGGGACACAGUUGUGGAAAAUGUCUAAAAUAGGAUAAAGCAGUGUUGAAGCACUGAUUGAGGUGGUGUGUUUGCUGCAGUGGCCCUGGACAUCUGCUGGGUUUUGGGUGUAGGACUUGAAGCUUGGUGUCCAGUGAGUGCUCCAGCAGCAGAGGUGAUCAAGGGCUAGGAGAGGGAGGACGGCCUUCACUUCUGCCUUGGAUCAGAAGUGCUCCCAUAGCAUAACAAACCAUUUUUGUUUUAAUUUUCUUUUGGACAAGUUGAGAUUUUCUAAGAAAAGAAAAGAAAACAGACUCCUGAUGUACUCCAACCUGUGCCAGUUUCUACCCACUCGUGCAAAGGAUGUGGGCAGUGAGGGUCAGAGGACUUGUGGGACCAGACUGAGAGUGAAAAACAGGGAGUGAGGGGAGGAGGUAUGGGAGGAGAACAGCCACAGCUGCUGUCAGGUAACACGUGACAGUUUUUGAGCAACAGCCCAUCACAACGGAGUCCAUCCUACUUGGAUUUAAAGGCCAUGGUGCAGAUUAAGGACCCAACAGAGCUGCCUUGAAAUUCUUGUGCUCACGAGAGAGAACUGCUUUGGUGCAACGCAUGCAAGAAUGAAAUAUCAUCAUAGAAACAUAAAGGCUGGAAAAAAGACCUCUCGGAUCACCAAAUCCAACCCAUCCCACCAUGCCCACUGACCACGUCCCUCAGUGCCACAUCUCCACAGUUCUGGAACACCUCCAGGGAUGGUGACUCCACCACUCCUUGGGCAGCUGUGCCAUUGCAUCACCACCUGAGAAUGAGCCACAAGAUAUCCAUCUUUUCAUAGAGCUUCCAAGAGCAGUCUUCAUGUAACUGGGUCUGGAACCACUGUGCCACAUGCUGGUUUUAUUGCUGUGAUAACAGAGAUUAGUCUAUUCCCUGUAUCAUAAGCACUAAAGCUGCAGCUGCUGAGAAGAACUGCUCCAGGCUAAGUCUUAACAAAUAUCUUGGCUGGUGAAUACAGAAACAUAGCAUCAUAGAAUGGUUUGAGUGGGAAGAGACCUUAAAGAUCAUCUGGUUCCAGCCCUCCUGCUAUAGGCAGGGACAUCUCAAAACCUACUCCAUUCCCUAUCCUUGUCCUGAUCCAAAUUCAGCCUUGGUGAUUUUUCACCUGAGCCAGUUUCCAUUCUAUUGGCUGGGAGAAUUAAUUGUAUCACCCAGUUUUUCAGAUUCUUCCUGCCUUGAAUGAGACACUCAGAACCCUGCAGGUUUUGUUGAUGCUGUUAUAAAUGACUGUAAUGUCUAUAAAACAUGCACUGUAGUUUUCUGUUUACAGCAUCCCCACAUCAUUUCAAUGUUGCACAGCUGUACAUAGCAUUCUCCUACUGCAACUUCAGAAUUUAAACUGGAGUCCCAGUGGAAUUUGUAGUGCUCCCUUUCCUGCAUCCCCAGCUGCCACAGGCGUUUGAAGAUUUCAGAUGGGGAAAUAAAUGAAUGGAUUUCUCCAAACCUCAUUCCUUGCACAAUCCUUUCACUCUUCAGGGGUACCAAAAUGAGCUCAGCCCAAGGAUGCUUGCGCCAAUUUGUGUGUGCAACAAAGGGAAUGAAAUGCAUACUUCAGCAAAAGGUUUGGUGUCCUACAACACAGAGCAUACUGCUGCUCAGAGGGCUGGCCUCAGAGACCUCAGGAAAGCCACUCAAACAGAAGCUCAUGGCUGAAAUAUGUGAAUUUCCAAAAAGCUGUGAUGUUGGCCUUCAUCAGGCAAACCAUGAUCAUACAGCGAGCAAUGCUGCCUGGGAAGCAGUGACCAAAAAGGAUCUGAGGUCCAACUGUUAAGUCCCAACACCCAAUGUGAUGCUAUGGACAAUGAAGCUGAUGGGGCAUUGUGUGUUUGACGUGGAAGAGUGCAGUGCGUCUGCAGCCCUCGCUUUUGUGAGCUCUCUGCCAGGCUUGGAACUGCCCCAGAUCUGAUGAUGAACCUGCAGAAGAGAGCAGGAGGUGGACAGAAGGUUUCCUUGAGGGUUGAACAGGAGAGGCCAACAAAAGGAGAGCUGUCAGGAAUCAGAGCUAUUCAGCAGCUUCCCUUAGCCCAACGUCAUCUGCAGCUCUAGCAUGUGGACUUGGUGUGGAGGUAAACAACUGAUUGUGAAAUCCCCUCCUGUGCUGUCACCUCCACUGGCAGACCAAUGACUUUUGGGAAGGCAGUCUGCCCUUCACAGCCAAACACAAGGAUAAAUGAGGUUGCACUGUGGGCAGUCAACCCUGAGUGCUACAUGAAAACCUGGAGGCAUCAGGCCUUGCUUGCAAAGAGAUCUUUAGAAGCCGCCUGAAUGUGGUCCUGGGCAAUUGGCUCUAGAAUACUCCGGUUAAAAUGACCUCCAGAGGUCCCUUCCAACCUCAAAAACUCUGUCAUUUUGUAAAACCUUCUGCACUGUGGGAGAGUUCAGCCCCCAUGACCAAAGUCCAGGACAGAUCUUCCACUGAGAGGGAUUGGGUGCCUCCACUGGGUUCAGUUUCAGGUUAUAUUCAAUAAGGCCUCUUGCCAGGUUUUUAAAUGCAAUAGAGAAGCCAACCCUAGUCACCACAGUAAGCCAUAGGCAAUUUCUGCCUAUGUCAAUAAGGAGAGGUGAGGCCUUUGUAAGGAGAGGAUGUGCAAGAACUGCCAUAGAGCACAGCAGUUUGGCAGUUGCUUCUCCCAGUUCACAUUACCAAGGUAUCGAUAGCAAGUCGAAUGGCCCCACGGUUCUGGAUUCGAUGUGCAAGAGACUGUUUAUAGCAUCUGCUGAGAGGCAGUUACUUUUACUCUCAUUGGCAAAUCAUUGUUUACGUCUCGUGUUUCGAAAUGCAGCUGGGUUCCAGCCUUUCCUCACCAACUGGCGGAAUCUGUGCCCAUGUGCUGCUCUUUAGCAACACAAACAGCACAGCCAGAAUCCACUUAGCAUGGUUUGCUAACCCUCCAAACACGCAAGGCUUGGCUACAAGCACGCCAGCUUGUUUCCAACAGCUCCUCAAGCAGAGAGCACAGUGGGAAAGUCACAAUUGGGUUAAGGGGUGGCUGAACACCUGCUGAGUAGCCCAAAACAAGAACGGGCUUGAUUCUUGCAUCAAGGUCAAGUGUGCCAUUUAUCUUCUCAACAUGAAUCAUCUUCUUUUCCUCUGUUCCAUUUGUGAUUCUAGUGAUGUCUGCUGAUUCUUGUACAUUUCACUCAUUCUGCCUUUUUUUCUGGGGGGGGGGGGGGGCUGUCAGCAACACCAGCAUCCAUCUAGCUCAAAGAUGUUAUGUUGCAGGAAAGAUUCUGAGAACUCAAAUGGGAUCUCAAGUUAUGAAGGUACAGAUUAAAGGCCAUGAGAAGAUGUACAGAGAUAACUGUGGUGAGCUUGGAGGGACCACAUUCAUCCAUUCUGAGCUGCACUCAGUCAUUGGAUCAUCAGAGAAUCAUAGAAUGUCCCAAGUUGGCAGCAACCUCAACGAUCCUUGAGUCCAGCUCCUGGCUCCCUGCAGGACCACACAAGAACCAAACCAUAUGUCUGAGAGUGUUGUCUGAAUUCUUCUUGAACUCCAUGAGGCCUGGUGUCAUGACCACUGCCCUGGGGAGCCUACAAAGAAAGUAAAGCCUGAAUGCACGCUAAAGCCUCUCCUGCUGUGCUGCUUGUUCCAGCCUGGUAGGAGGAAGCUCAGCCCUCCUUAUGGAUCUGUCCUCAGAUAUGGGAAGAAGGUACAAAACACAGCAUAUAGAGCAACCAGUAGCUGUUACUGCUAGACGUCACAUAUUGAAGUCCUGCACUACCUCUGUAAGUCCCAGAUGCCUUUUUAGGUUGGGAGAUUUUCUUUGCAGAACUCCAGUGGUGGCAUCUCAAUAUGUGCGCUGGAUCUUGUGGUCCAACCAGCACUGCAGAUAUUAUCUCUGAUGUCUCUCACACGGUUUAACUCCAAGGCUUAGACACAUCUUACAGGAGACCAAGCUGAGGGAGACCACUUGUAGACCAAGCUGAAGGCAAUGCCCUAUUUGUUGGUGUGAGCAGCAAAUGAGAUGGGAGUGUACAGAGACUACACUCAUAGAAUCACUAAGGUUGGAAAAGACCUCUGAGAUCAUCCAGUCCAGCUGUCCACCUAUCACCAGUAUUCUCCCACUAAACAAUGUCUUUCAGUACAACAUCUAAACGUUUCUUGAACACCUCCAGGAAUAGUGAUUCAACCUCCCUGGGCAGCCCAUUGCAGCUGAACUGUAAUAGAGGUGUCACAGUGAUAGGUAAACAUUAGGUUUUAGCCAAAUAUGUGAAGAGACAUAAUUCAAGGGAGAGAACUGAGAAACGAAGGCCAAAGUUUUUAACUAGAGGGUGAAAGAAGAAAUUUAAGCAGCCCCAAAGCUUGUUGGUUCACCUUAUACAGGUGAAAAAUUCAAGCUCUGAUGGCAUCACUUAAAUCCAGCUUCCAAGAAACUGCACUUUGAGUUAUGGAGCUGCCUGGUGAUGAGUUUCUCCUGUUAGGAAGUGAGAAGGGCUCAGAGGAGAGGACCUGGGAGAAGCCACUCCUUCUUGUUUUCCAGCCUGGUCCCAGGGUCAGGCAGCUGACGGAGUGAUGAGGGAUGGCUGACUCAUCAGCCUUUGUGUUGUUUCGCAGAAGCCAUGCAAAGCUCCUGACAGCCUCUGAUUUCACAUUACAUAAGGCAAUACACCCCAGUGCCACAUGUGCUACAUCACAUUCCUCUUCAGCAGAAUCCUUCGGCUCUCCAAACCAUGUCGUGUUUAUGUAGACUCCCAAGCACCAGUUAUGCAAUCUUUCCCAUUCUCUCUAGCCAACAAACAUCCAAUUAAAAUGUGCAGUUACCAUGGUUUCUCCCUCACCAACCUAGGUAGCAUAAAUGUGAAGUUUGGGUUUGAGAAAAAAAAAAAAAAAAAAAGGAAAAAAAAAGAGGUAUUUUCUGAUUAAGCAAUGUACUCAUUCAGUUGAUGGCCUUAAAAUGUUCUGUUCAGCCCACUCAGUGUUUGGGUGCUUUAAUGGUUUUCUUUUCUAUGUUGGGGUUUUAUUUUUUUGUUUGGUUGCUUUUGUUGUGUUUUUUUUUUUUUUUAAGUACUCAAAUACAUGGAAAGGGAAGAGCUUGGGAAUGGUUUGCCAUGACAAAUACAUUGUUUUCAGAGUAAAUUUAAGCAGCCAGAGAGGGGAACUGGAGCUGGGGAAUGUUUGCUGGAGUAUAUGAACGUGCUGUUGGAAAUAACUCGUUGUUGGUAAAA